CCAGCGUUUUGCUGUCCCAGUUGAUAACUUUAAGUGCAAAGUCGACCCCGAUCGUCGCCCUGUAGUGCUGCGAGAAAAGCUGGUGCACGUAGCGUUUGAUGAUGCUCGUUUUCCCGACACCUAAUUCCCCGAUGACCAGCACUUUGAACAGGUAAUCAUUGGGCCACCAUCCCAGCUCACAUGCCUUGCAGGUAAACUCAUCCUGGACGUACUCGUUGUCCUUGCAUGUGGUGCAGAUCCAGCAGCAGCUCACCUCGCCCUUCCUGAUCACCUGUGAGCAGAGAGGCCAGACAUUAACGAUGAGGGGUCACAGACAUCUUAGUAACAGGUCACAACACUAAUCAAACCGUGACAAGAAGCACAUCACACCCAAAGAUAUCAAAGACGAGAAUCGCGCCGUCUGGCAGAACUCCAAACAGCUCAUGAAAACUCUCGGGCCAUCGGAGAGACGCUUAAUGGGAGAAAAUCUGAUUUGAUGUCACCUCGAUGUUCCGCCGCUUCACACGGGAAGGUCCAUUAUUACAUAACCUGCAUCAGACACGGCGGAGCAAUACCUGUUUAAGCAGAUUAAGGAGUCAACGCUGUUCUACUUCGUUAUUAGCUUUACAGUCGUUUUACUGAACACAGCCAAGCGGGAUGAGGUCUAAAAUUGACCUUUGAUAUAAUUACACUUUUUAAAUACUUUUAAUUUAAGAAGGCUAAGUUUUGUCACAAGGCAAAAUAGUGAAUAGCAGUUACUAACAGAAAAAACUAACACACGUGCAAACACUAUACCUUUGAGUACUUAAUCAGCCUCACACCUAAAACACAAAAUAGAUCAUUUUUCAUUCCAUAUUGUUUUUAUUUAACAAUACUUUCUAAGAUAUGAGCAUUACAAAAGCUAUUCAUAUGAGCGUAUUCUG